rnacentral:piRNA from 1 species
UGACUUGGAAGAGGAAGGUCCUGGUGGUA